UACCAGCACCCCGAGUGGUCGGGACGAUUAUUGGGCCUAAAGCAUCCGUAGCCGGUUCUACAAGUCUUCCGUUAAAUCCACCUGCUUAACAGAUGGGCUGCGGAGGAUACUAUGGAGCUAGGAGGCGGGAGAGGCAAGCGGUACUUAGUGGGUAGGGGUAAAAUCCGUUGAUCCAUUGAAGACCACCAGUGGCGAAGGCGGCUUGCCAGAACGCACUCGACGGUGAGGGAUGAAAGCUGGGGGAG
rnacentral:rRNA from 1 species